AAAGUACUCCCUCCGUCCCAAAAUUCUUGUCUUAGAUNUCUAGAUACGGAUGUAUCAAGUCACAUUUUAGUAUUAGAUACAUCCGUAUCUAGACAAAUCUAAGACAAGAAAUUUGGGACAGAGGGAGUAGUUG
rnacentral:pre_miRNA from 1 species